rnacentral:rRNA from 1 species
UUAGAGGAAGUAAAAGUCGUAACAAGGUUUCCGUAGGUGAACCUGCGGAAGGAUCAUUAUUGAAAUUAUAGGUGAGGGUUGUAGCUGGCCUCUCGGGGCAUGUGCACGCCCGAGCCCUUAAUCCACACACACCUGUGAACCUAUUGUAAGGGCCCGUGAAAAGGCCUUUACGUCUUUAUAAACCCAUCGUAUGUCUCAUAGAAUGUAAUUAUAUGUCCUCGCCUUAAAAAAGCGUUGAUAAACUUAUACAACUUUCAACAACGGAUCUCUUGGCUCUCGCAUCGAUGAAGAACGCAGCGAAAUGCGAUAAGUAAUGUGAAUUGCAGAUUUUCAGUGAAUCAUCGAAUCUUUGAACGCACCUUGCGCUCCUUGGUAUUCCGAGGAGCAUGCCUGUUUGAGUGUCAUUAAAUUCUCAACCCCGAUCGAUUUGUUUCGACUUCGGGGCUUGGAUCUGGAGCGUGCUGGCGUCGGUCGGCUCCUCUUAAAUGCAUCAGCGGAAUCUAACGUUUCGGACGUCAGUGUGAUAAUCAUGUUGCGCUGUCUGUCUGAUCCGAAAGCCCGCUCACAAUGGUCUUCGGACAACUUUAUCAAAUUUGACCUCAAAUCAGGUAGGACUACCCGCUGAACUUAAGC